rnacentral:rRNA from 1 species
CAUAGCGACUAUCGUGGCAUAUCAAUAAGCGGAGGAAAAGAAACUAACUAGGAUUCCCCUAGUAACGGCGAGUGAAGCGGGAAGAGCUCAAAUUUGAAAUCUUAAAGGGUUUCCCUUUACGAAUUGUAGUUUAAAGAAGUGUUUUCUGUUGAAGUUUCGGUAAAAGUUCUUUGGAAUAGGACAUCAUAGAGGGUGAGAAUCCCGUAUUUGACCGUUAUUUUCAGCUGUGUGAUACACUUUCAAAGAGUCGGAUUGUUUGGGAAUGCAGUCCAAAAUGGGUGGUAAAUUUCAUCUAAAGCUAAAUAUUGGCGAGAGACCGAUAGCGAACAAGUACCGUGAGGGAAAGAUGAAAAGAACUUUGAAAAGAGAGUUAAACAGUACGUGAAAUUGUCAAAAGGGAAGCGUUUGACACCAGUGUUGUUUUUCCGAAAAUCAAUUACGAAUGUUUUGUUUUUAAGAAGUUAUGACUUCAUCGGCUUGCUUCUUUCUUUACGAAACUUUCUUAAUGCACUUUUCGGUUAACAAGUCAACAUCAAUUUCUUUUGUUGUAAAAGGGUAUGAGGAAGGUGGCUUUCUUUUCGGAGAAAGUGUUUAUAGCCUUGUACCUCUGCAAUCGGAGAGAUUGAGGUCUGCAGCGUAGAUCCUUCGGGGUUAGAUACAUUUGUGCUAAGUUAUAGCUUUUCAUAGACAACUUGUUGACUAUGUUAAGUCUUGUAGCUUACUCGCUUAUGCUAUUUUACCUACGCUUAGGAUGUUGAAGAUAUGCGCGACACG